rnacentral:piRNA from 1 species
UGACAAGAGACUACCUGGUAGGUUUGAGAGU